rnacentral:lncRNA from 1 species
GCUGAGUGCUUGUCCUUACCAGCUACACUCUCCUGCUAGUCCAUCAAUCAAUUAGAUCAUCACUCCAUUGAGGCCAGGAAUCAUGUCUUAUUUUUCUUGCAGUAUCCUUCACUGCUGAAGGCCUCCGGGGAAUUCACCUGCCGUGCCUGCUUAUGGACUGGAUCUACUUUAGCUCACAGAAUGAGCACAAAGAAAGGACAGAUUGUAAGUGAGGAGCUGUUGGUGAUGUGAGAGUGAUACCUGCCCAAACACACUGGAAGCCAGCGGCCAUCGGUCCUGCACAUUUCAGUCCAGAGUGCUCACUGUUACACCAGGAAGACACGUCAGUCCUGCACGUUUCAAUUGGUACACAUCACAGGUAUUGCCCCCCACAUUUCCAGAUCAACUGUGGUAAGUAUUAUCUAUUUUGUUCCUUGUGCUUCUAAAAUGCCCUAUUACUAACUGACC